AGUGAACGCUGGCGGCGUGCCUAAUACAUGCAAGUCGAACGAGUGGCGCGCGGGUGAGUAAUGUCUGGGAAACUGCCUGAUGGAGGGGGAUAAAUACUUGAUACGGUAGCUAAUACCGCAUACCAUCAGUUGUGCCAUGAUGGUAUUAGCUAGUCGGUGGGGUAAUGGCUCACUUAGGCCAUGAUCCCUAGCUGGUCUGAGAGGAUGACCAGCCACACUGGAACUGAGACACGGUCCAGACUCCUACGGGAGGCAGCAGUGGGGAAUUUUGCACAAUGGGCGAAAGCCUGAUGCAGCCAUGCCGCGUGUGUGAAGAAGGCCUUCGGGUUGUAAAGCACUUUCAGCAGGGAGGCGUUACUCGCAGAAGAAGCACCGGCUAACUACGUGCCAGCAGCCGCGGUAAUUC
rnacentral:rRNA from 1 species